rnacentral:rRNA from 1 species
GAGUUUGAUCCUGGCUCAGAUUGAACGCUGGCGGCAGGCCUAACACAUGCAAGUCGAACGGUAACAUUUCUAGCUUGCUAGAAGAUGACGAGUGGCGGACGGGUGAGUAAUGCUUGGGAACUUGCCUUUGCGAGGGGGAUAACAGUUGGAAACGACUGCUAAUACCGCAUAACGUCUACGGACCAAACGGGGCUUAGGCUCCGGCGCAAAGAGAGGCCCAAGUGAGAUUAGCUAGUUGGUAAGGUAAUGGCUUACCAAGGCAACGAUCUCUAGCUGUUCUGAGAGGAAGAUCAGCCACACUGGAACUGAGACACGGUCCAGACUCCUACGGGAGGCAGCAGUGGGGAAUAUUGCACAAUGGGGGAAACCCUGAUGCAGCCAUGCCGCGUGUGUGAAGAAGGCCUUCGGGUUGUAAAGCACUUUCAGUUGUGAGGAAAAGUUAGUAGUUAAUACCUGCUAGCCGUGACGUUAACAACAGAAGAAGCACCGGCUAACUCCGUGCCAGCAGCCGCGGUAAUACGGAGGGUGCGAGCGUUAAUCGGAAUUACUGGGCGUAAAGCGCACGCAGGCGGUUUGUUAAGCUAGAUGUGAAAGCCCCGGGCUCAACCUGGGAUAGUCAUUUAGAACUGGCAGACUAGAGUCUUGGAGAGGGGAGUGGAAUUCCAGGUGUAGCGGUGAAAUGCGUAGAUAUCUGGGGGAACAUCAGUGGCGAAGGCGACUCCCUGGCCAAAGACUGACGCUCAUGUGCGAAAGUGUGGGUAGCGAACAGGA